rnacentral:rRNA from 1 species
GCGUGCGUGAAGAAGGCCCUAGGGUUGUAAAGCGCUUUCAACGGUGAAGAUGAUGACGGUAACCGUAGAAGAAGCACCGGCUAACUUCGUGCCAGCAGCCGCGGUAAUACGAAGGGUGCAAGCGUUGUUCGGAAUUACUGGGCGUAAAGGGCGUGUAGGCGGCUUGUUAAGUUAGAUGUGAAAUCCCGGGGCUCAACCUCGGAACUGCAUUUGAUACUGGCAAGCUAGAAUCCCGGAGGGGAGUGUGGAAUUCCAAGUGUAGAGGUGAAAUUCGU